rnacentral:rRNA from 1 species
GAGUGGCGAACGGGUGAGUAACACGUGGGUAACCUGCCCAGAAGUAGGGGAUAACACCUGGAAACAGAUGCUAAUACCGUAUAACAGAGAAAACCGCAUGGUUUUCUUUUAAAAGAUGGCUCUGCUAUCACUUCUGGAUGGACCCGCGGCGUAUUAGCUAGUUGGUGAGGUAAAGGCUCACCAAGGCAGUGAUACGUAGCCGACCUGAGAGGGUAAUCGGCCACAUUGGGACUGAGACACGGCCCAGACUCCUACGGGAGGCAGCAGUAGGGAAUCUUCCACAAUGGACGCAAGUCUGAUGGAGCAACGCCGCGUGAGUGAAGAAGGGUUUCGGCUCGUAAAGCUCUGUUGUUAAAGAAGAACGUGGGUAAGAGUAACUGUUUACCCAGUGACGGUAUUUAACCAGAAAGCCACGGCUAACUACGUGCCAGCAGCCGCGGUAAUACGUAGGUGGCAAGCGUUAUCCGGAUUUAUUGGGCGUAAAGCGAGCGCAGGCGGUCUUUUAAGUCUAAUGUGAAAGCCUUCGGCUCAACCGAAGAAGUGCAUUGGAAACUGGGAGACUUGAGUGCAGAAGAGGACAGUGGAACUCCAUGUGUAGCGGUGAAAUGCGUAGAUAUAUGGAAGAACACCAGUGGCGAAGGCGGCUGUCUGGUCUGCAACUGACGCUGAGGCUCGAAAGCAUGGGUAGCGAACAGGAUUAGAUACCCUGGUAGUCCAUGCCGUAAACGAUGAUUACUAAGUGUUGGAGGGUUUCCGCCCUUCAGUGCUGCAGCUAACGCAUUAAGUAAUCCGCCUGGGGAGUACGACCGCAAGGUUGAAACUCAAAAGAAUUGACGGGGGCCCGCACAAGCGGUGGAGCAUGUGGUUUAAUUCGAAGCUACGCGAAGAACCUUACCAGGUCUUGACAUCUUCUGACAGUCUAAGAGAUUAGAGGUUCCCUUCGGGGACAGAAUGACAGGUGGUGCAUGGUUGUCGUCAGCUCGUGUCGUGAGAUGUUGGGUUAAGUCCCGCAACGAGCGCAACCCUUAUUACUAGUUGCCAGCAUUAAGUUGGGCACUCUAGUGAGACUGCCGGUGACAAACCGGAGGAAGGUGGGGACGACGUCAAAUCAUCAUGCCCCUUAUGACCUGGGCUACACACGUGCUACAAUGGAUGGUACAACGAGUCGCGAGACCGCGAGGUUAAGCUAAUCUCUUAAAACCAUUCUCAGUUCGGACUGUAGGCUGCAACUCGCCUACACGAAGUCGGAAUCGCUAGUAAUCGCGGAUCAGCAUGCCGCGGUGAAUACGUUCCCGGGCCUUGUACACACCGCCCGUCACACCAUGAGAGUUUGUAACACCCAAAGCCGGUGGGGUAACCUUUUAGGAGCUAGC